rnacentral:rRNA from 1 species
CUACGGGACGCUCCAGUGAGGAAUAUUGCACAAUGGGGGGAACCCUGAUGCAGCAACGCCGCGUGGAGGAUGACGCAUUUCGGUGUGUAAACUCCUUUUAUAUGUCAAGAAAAUGACGGUAGCAUAUGAAUAAGCGCCGGCUAACUCCGUGCCAGCAGCCGCGGUAAUACGGAGGGCGCAAGCGUUACUCGGAAUCACUGGGUGUAAAGGACGCGUAGGCGGGUUGGAAAGUCAGGUGUGAAAUCCUACAGCUUAACUGUAGAACUGCACUUGAAACUUCUAAUCUAGAGUAUGGGAGGGGGAGAUGGAAUUAGUGGUGUAGGGGUAAAGUCCGUAGAUAUCACUAGGAAUACCUAAAGCGAAGGCGAUCUCCUGGAACAUUACUGACGCUAAGGCGUGAAAGCGUGGGGAGCAAACAGGAUUAGAUACCCCCGUAGUC